rfam:Trichomonas vaginalis G3, whole genome shotgun sequence.
GUAGUCUGCCAUACGCAGGAAGACCCGCUGAACUGAAGCAUCUCAUUAAGCGGAGGAAAAGAAACUAACUAGGAUUCCCUUAGUAAAGGCGAUCGAAAAGGGAACAGCCCAACGUCUUAAUCCCGCAAGGGAAAUGUAGUCGGUUCACCUAUUGCACUGGUCUAAGUCAGAUGGAAUGCUGCGCGAUUCAGAGUAAAAGCCUCGUAUGACCAACCGCAAGCUUACGAUGGACCGGGGAGAGUCGGAUACUUUGAGAGUAGUGUCUUAAGGGGGUGGUAUGUCCCAUCCAAGGCUAAAUAACGUGAGGAGACCGAUAGAUUACAAGUAGUGUGAACGAAAGAUGAAAAGAACUCUAAAACAGAGGGUGAAAAGUUCCUGAACUUGCUUAGGGUUAAGGCUAUUUAUAGUACCCGUCUUGAAACACGGAUUAGGGAGUUUAUCUGUAGUGCGAGUCUUUGCACGUUAACUGUAAAGGCGUAGAGAAAGCAACUGGCGUUUGCAUGGCUACUGAGCAUUACUGAUAGGACCCGAAAGUGGUGAACUUUGCCUGCACAGGUUGAAGUCAGGGGAAACUCUGAUGGAGGACCGUACGGGUUAUUGAUGUGCAAAUCAUUUUUCUGAUGUAGGUAAAGUGCGAAAGACUCAUCGAACCACCUAAUAGCUGGUUUCCUCCGAAGUUC